GAGCGGGAGGAGGAGGAGACCGGGACCGGGAGAGGGAGGGAGGGAACGGGAGAAGGCGGAGAUGGGAGAGGGAGGGAGGAGGGAGGAGACCGGGGCCGAGAGAGGGAGGGAGGGAGGAGGCUAGGGUUUCGCAGUUAAACCCGAAAACUUUAGCCGACGAAAUAAUUAUUUCGUCGGCUAAAGCUACGAAUUUCGUCGGCUAAAGCUACGAAUUUCGUCGGCUAUACAUCAAUUCGUCGGCUAAACCUUCUAAAUUCGUCGGCUAAAACUUUGAAAUUCGUCGGCUAAACUUUAUAAAUUCGUCGGCUAAACCUUUGAAAUUCGUCGGCUAACCUUUGAAAUUCGUCGGCUAAAAGUAUUUUUAUACAUUUGGCACAUUGUGAUUGUGAUGAUCAAACUUGAGAAAAAUAAAUCCGACCGUCAGAUCUGACCAUCAUGAUAAAAUACAUGUAUGGGAAAAAAUUCAACUUGAUCCGACAAGAAUAAGGGCUCGAUCCGGACGGUCAAUCUCGUAAGUCAAACCCCUAAACGCACGGAAGGUCGUUCGACCGUCUAAAUUAAGUAUUUUGGCCGGACCUCUAACUGAAAAUAGUUUUAAAUCGAUGACAUGCAACAAGUCGUAUAAAAAUUUUACGCAAAAUAACCACCGAAUAUAGGGCUACUCAUAGGGGGAAAGAAUGAAAAAUUGCAUUGACCGCAACUAUCGGCACCGAAUAUUUACCGGAAUAGUGUGAUUUUUCAACCGUGGAUGUAUUUCAACAUUCUCGUCAUAUCUUAUUUCAUGACUUUUUGGCGUUUGAAGGUUUUACGUAUAGUUUGUUUUUGAAACGGAACAUUUACAUAACACUUGGUAAACAAGUUAUACAACAUUAGUAUGCAUGUUGUGAUUGUGAUGAUCAAAGUUGAGAAAAAUAAAUCCGACCGUCAGAUCUGACCAUCAUGACAAAAUACAUGUAUGGGAAAAAAUUCAACUUGAUCCGACAAGAAUAGGGGCUCGAUCCGGACGGUCAAUCUCGUAAGUCAAACCCCUAAACGCACGGAAAAGGUCGUUCGACCGUCUAAAUUACGUAUUUUGGCCGGACCUCCAACUGAAAAUAGUUUCAAACCGAUGAGACGCAAGAAGUCGUCUAAAAAUUUUACGAAAAAUAAUAACCGAAGAUAGGGCUAUAGUAGGUAAUAGAAAAAUUUUAGAGUUUAGGGUAUUCGUCGGCUAUAGUAUGUAAUUAAAAAAAUUAAAAAAUAACUAAAGCCGACGAAAUAUUAGGUUAUUCGUCGGCUAAAACUUUAUUAGCCGACGAAAUACACUAUAAUUCGUCGGCUAAGAUGGUUUUAGCCGACGAAAUAUAGUAUAUUUCGUCGGCUUAAGGAAAAAAAUACAUUAAAAAAAACAGACGAUAUUAGUAAACCAUACUAACUUCCUGUUCAUCAUGUAUCACCAAAAUUCAUAUAAAAUAACUGAAAUAUGAAUUCAACAUAUGUAAACUAUAAAGGAAAAGGUCUUUAGUUAUACAAAUUAAUGGAUUACGUCCUCUAAAUUAAAACUAAGGCUCGUAAUCGGAAUCAUCCGAUGAGUCUUCUUCGGUGUCAGAAUUAAUUUCUGGUAAUAUAUGUCUUUCCUCAUCGCCAGAGUUUUCGUCUGUUUCUUGAUUUGGAUCAACAUCAAUAAGC
rnacentral:lncRNA from 1 species